AUGGCUCGUGGCGACCAUCAAGAUGAUGAUGACUUCAUGGAUGCACCGCAACAGAAUCGCACGACUGAUCGGGCAAAAGAUGGCGAAGAGAAGAAGAAACGCCAUCGCAAUAGGGCUUCGCAAGAAUGCCUGACCAUUUUGAAUGAAGGAUUUACUGAUGAGCAGAAGGGAGCUGUCGGUGCCAUGGGGAUGCAGGCUCUGAUGCAUGUUCGCUGCAAGAACCUAGUGAACCUUAUAUGCGACUCGGUCGGUGAGAUUUAUGAUCCUGCCUCUAGAGAAUUUGUGAUUCCGGGACGGGGAAGACUGCCUUUGGAUGAGGAUUCGGUGUUCUGCACUUUGGGUGUGCCCCGUGGAGAAAUCAAAGUCCGUAUGAGGUGA
rnacentral:rRNA from 1 species